UGUUGGUUCUCCCGCAACGCUACUCUGUUCACCAGGUCAGGUCCGGAAGGAAGCAGCCAGGGCAGACGACGUGUGUGCCGGGAUG
rnacentral:SRP_RNA from 2 species